CUCCUCUAUGCUGCUAUUCUGGGAAGUGGCGCUUGGAAUAACCCCCGUGUGCGUAAGAGUGUGUGUGUGCGUGUGUAUGUGUCUCCUGGUUUCACCCUGACACACGCACACAUACACGCUCACAACACAGUCAGACACACACAUUUACAGUCUGUCUGACUGCAGUAGUGGAGCUCCGGCAGCAGAAAUCCGGUCGGAAAGGAUUCCUUCCAUUUUUACGCGCAACUUUUCCUCCGUCGGCCGCCUCGCCGCAACGUUUCCACCGCUUCCCCUCGACUGUUUUGGAUUUCUAACAACCAUCUCCCGGCUGUUUCUAACGGGCAACCAGCGAGGAGUGCAAGCCCGCCCGGAAUCGGAUCUCCUGUCACCGGGGUUUGCUUGUUGUCAUUCUCGCACGGAGACGGAGACGCGCAGCCGGAGCGCAGGCAGAAGGGGCAGUUUGUGGACUUGAUAAACUGGACGAGAGGACAAACAGUUACACCAGGCCGUUAAAGGUUUCCAGUUGGUUUGCGGCGGGCAGAAAUGUCAGAGCUGUGGAUUCCAACUCCGGGCAGAGAGGCUGCUACAGUAUGUGGUGGCAGAUUGCUAUGCUGUAUGUGUUAUGUUUCUGUCUGUAGGGGUGCUGCUUUUUUAGGCAGCGUGUGCGUAUUGAAGUGAAGGAGGCUUGAGACUAAUGAUCCAGACAAGAAAGCUCUCCUACCUGUGAGGUUGACUUCGGGGAGGGAUGGGACUAAACUUUUCAA
ensembl:lncRNA